rnacentral:rRNA from 1 species
CCGGCGCACGGGUGAGUAACACGUAUCCAACCUGCCGUCUACUCUUGGACAGCCUUCUGAAAGGAAGAUUAAUACAAGAUGGCAUCAUGAGUUCACAUGUUCACAUGAUUAAAGGUAUUCCGGUAGACGAUGGGGAUGCGUUCCAUUAGAUAGUAGGCGGGGUAACGGCCCACCUAGUUUUCGAUGGAUAGGGGUUCUGAGAGGAAGGUCCCCCACAUUGGUACUGAGACACGGACCAA